rnacentral:rRNA from 1 species
GAUGAACGCUGGCGGCGUGCCUAAUACAUGCCAGUCGAGCGAACAGAUGAGGAGCUUGCUCCUCUGACGUUAGCGGCGGACGGGUGAGUAACACGUGGAUAACCUACCUAUAAGACUGGGAUAACUUCGGGAAACCGGAGCUAAUACCGGAUAAUAUAUUGAACCGCAUGGUUCAAUAGUGAAAGACGGUUUUGCUGUCACUUAUAGAUGGAUCCGCGCCGCAUUAGCUAGUUGGUAAGGUAACGGCUUACCAAGGCAACGAUGCGUAGCCGACCUGAGAGGGCGACAGGGGGCACGGGAACUGAGACACGGUCCAGACUCCUAGGUGAGGCAGCAGUAGGGAAUCUUCGGCAAUGGGCGGAACCCUGACGCAUCAACGUCGGGUGAGAGAAGAAAGUAUUAGUAUAGUAAAACUCUGUAAUUAGGAAGGAAAAAAAGUAGAACGAAACAGCAACGUCGUGACGGUACCCACCGAGAAAGCAACGGCUAACUACGUG